AACUGAGGAUAAUACCGGAUAGGCAAUUAUUCCUGUAAUGGUUUUUUGUUUAAAUGUUUUUUCGCCUAAGGAUGGGUCUGCGGCCGAUUAGGUAGUUGGUUAGGUAAUGGCUUACCAAGCCGUUGAUCGGUACGGGUUGUGAGAGCAAGAGCCCGGAGAUGGAACCUGAGACAAGGUUCCAGGCCCUACGGGGUGCAGCAGGCGCGAAACCUCCGCAAUGUGAGAAAUCGCGACGGGGGGAUCCCAAGUGCCAUUCUUAACGGGAUGGCUUUUCAUUAGUGUAAAAAGCUUUUGGAAUAAGAGCUGGGCAAGACCGGUGCCAGCCGCCGCGGUAACACCGGCAGCUCUAGUGGUAGCAAUUUUUAUUGGGCCUAAAGCGUCCGUAGCCGGUUUAAUAAGUCUCUGGUGAAAUCCUGUAGCUUAACUGUGGGAAUUGCUGGAGAUACUAUUAGACUUGAGACCGGGAGAGGUUAGAGGUACUCC
rnacentral:rRNA from 1 species